rnacentral:rRNA from 1 species
GACGUAGGGGGCAAGCGUUGUCCGGAUUUAUUGGGCGUAAAGAGCGUGUAGGCGGUUAGGUAGGUCCGUUGUGAAAACUCGAGGCUCAACCUCGAGACGCCGAUGGAAACCAUCUGACUAGAGUCCGGAAGAGGAGAGUGGAAUUCCUGGUGUAGCGGUGAAAUGCGCAGAUAUCAGGAAGAACACCCGUGGCUAAGGCGGCUCUCUGGGACGGUACUGACGCUGAGACGCGAAAGCGUGGGGAGCGAACAGG